rnacentral:lncRNA from 1 species
UGAAAAAAGUAGGGUCGAAUGCUUACAUCACUGGGGAGAGCAGAUAAACAAAGGGAUUAAAGGCGGACUAUAUGCAAUUGAACUCAUUUCUUCAUUUACACAUUUAGAAAUUUACAACUUAGAAACUGUCAUUCCUUCAGUCUUUAGAAGCGACUGAAAUCGAGUAUAUUGAUGUUUCCUAAAGAAAACUUGAUAAAGGAAAAUCAAUCUCAAAAUCCAACAAAACGUCUCAUCAGCUAAGAAAUAGUUCUCAAAAGUUGAAAUGAACCACACUCCUCAUUUUCUUGAAUUCCAGCCUUAAGGAUUGCAAUUAAUUAUUGAAUGAUUAGAUUUGUUACCUGCAGCAUACAGGAGGUUUGGUUACUUUUUUAUCAGGCCAGACCAGGCCAAUUCUGAAUGCCAGGAAGUGGAGCAGUUUCUCAGGGUAACAAGUCAGUCACUGCUCGAUCUGCUCCCUGUUAGAGAGUUUAAAACAACAACUAAAAAAAUCCAAAGUUGACAUCACAAGCUGCGGGAAUGAUUGUAGAUGACCUCUGAGGUCCCUGCCGGUUCUAAAUCCAUCAUCUUCUGAACCUCUGGCCUAGGCUGGCCCUGCUGAGAUGUUUGUCUAAGUUAGCUUGUAAGCACUGGAAGGCUAUUUUGGUUAACUUUUCAUUUGCAGAGUCACCAGUGUGUGAUGUAGACACGACCUGGGUUCCAGCCCUGCCUCUGCUACUCAGCUCUACAAACUUAGGUCAAGUUACUAUCACAAGGCAUCCAAACCUCAUGCAGUGCAAUACUUGUCCAAGAUCUUACCUAUAGGCUAUUCCCAAUGGCCUGGAGGUGUUCCCACAGUCUUUAAAAAAAUUCUCCGGGUAUUAAGGAAGCACUCUGUAAGUCCCUUGGAGAACCCUUGAGCUCCUUAGAUAACUAGACCACCUCCUUUUCUUAUACAUUUCUGUAAAAUCCCUCAGGCCACUUUUUGCAUAUUUGAGCAAACUGAGUACAUCAAAGAGACCAACAUCACCCACUGCAACCAGGGCCAUAACCGGACAUCCUGACUUUUGUCUUGCCACUUUAAGAGAGAGUGCUGCUGUGUUGCUCUGCCUUGCUUAAAUC